rnacentral:rRNA from 1 species
ACGCAGUAAACGAUGAUUACUCGCUGUUUGCGAUACACUGUAAGCGGCCAAGCGAAAGCGUUAAGUAAUCCACCUGGGGAGUACGCCGGCAACGGUGAAACUCAAAGGAAUUGACGGGGGCCCGCACAAGCGGAGGAACAUGUGGUUUAGUUCGAUGAUACGCGAGGAACCUUACCCGGGCUUGAAAUGCAGAGGAAUAAAUUGGAAACAGUUUAGCCAGCAAUGGUCUCUGUGUAGGUGCUGCAUGGUUGUCGUCAGCUCGUGCCGUGAGGUGUCGGCUUAAGUGCCAUAACGAGCGCAACCCUUGUGAAUAGUUACCAUCAGGUUAAGCUGGGGACUCUAUUCAGACUGCCAUCGUAAGAUGUGAGGAAGGUGGGGAUGACGUCAAAUCAGCACGGCCCUUACGUCCGGGGCGACACACGUGUUACAAUGGGUGGUACAAAGGGCAGCUACUGGGCGACCAGAUGCAAAUCUUCAAAACCAUUCUCAGUUCGGAUCGAAGUCUGCAACUCGACUUUGUGAAGCUGGAUUCGCUAGUAAUCGCGCAUCAGCCAUGGCGCGGUGAAUACGUUCCCGGGCCUUGUACACACCGCCCGUCAAGCCAUGGGAGUUGGGGGUGCCUGAAGUACGUGACCGCGAGGAGCGUCCUAGGGCAAAACUGGUGACUGGGGCU